UCGGUUAUGUGGUCUUCUUGGGCGGCUUUCUGUCACGUUAACGUUACAUUUGACUGUUUGAAAUGAACAAUGCCAUAAACAAAAUAGAUUCAGAGCUGUGCAACGGAGAGUAUUUUUCACAACGAGGACAUUUUUUGCGACGUGAAGGAGGAGUGGGGCGCCAUUGAAGGAUUGGAGCAGCACUGAACACAUUUCAUAAUCAAGAAGACCCAGCCAGCCACCUCUCCACCUGAGGGAGAAACUGCCCAGCCCUGUCUUCCCCCAGUCAAAUUACCAUUCCAUGUGGCAGCAGCAAGUUCCAGGUGCCAUGGGAAAAAAUGAGGCCCUCUCUUAAAAGAGCCAUUGAUGCUGGAUGUUGGAGACAUACCAGGAAGGUGCAGUGGCUCUGGUGGCAGUGGUCCAUGAGAAGCAAUUGCCUGCAGGAAUCACCUUUUUCAAACUCACCACAUGUCAUUCAUACUCAACCAUCAGGUUUUAAUGUGUCAGAGACCUUGGAUAGAUAUACUGAUGAUUUUGUUUGCCGCUAAUUAUGCUUUCCAAUUCAGCUACCUUAAAGGGGUGAUAGA